rnacentral:rRNA from 2 species
AGCGUACACGGUGGAUGCCCUGGCAGUCAGAGGCGAUGAAGGACGUGCUAAUCUGCGAUAAGCGUCGGUAAGGUGAUAUGAACCGUUAUAACCGGCGAUUUCCGAAUGGGGAAACCCAGUGUGAUUCGUCACACUAUCAUUAACUGAAUCCAUAGGUUAAUGAGGCGAACCGGGGGAACUGAAACAUCUAAGUACCCCGAGGAAAAGAAAUCAACCGAGAUUCCCCCAGUAGCGGCGAGCGAACGGGGAGCAGCCCAGAGCCUGAAUCAGUGUGUGUGUUAGUGGAAGCGUCUGGAAAGGCGCGCGAUACAGGGUGACAGCCCCGUACACAAAAAUGCACAUGCUGUGAGCUCGAUGAGUAGGGCGGGACACGUGGUAUCCUGUCUGAAUAUGGGGGGACCAUCCUCCAAGGCUAAAUACUCCUGACUGACCGAUAGUGAACCAGUACCGUGAGGGAAAGGCGAAAAGAACCCCGGCGAGGGGAGUGAAAAAGAACCUGAAACCGUGUACGUACAAGCAGUGGGAGCACGCUUAGGCGUGUGACUGCGUACCUUUUGUAUAAUGGGUCAGCGACUUAUAUUCUGUAGCAAGGUUAACCGAAUAGGGGAGCCGAAGGGAAACCGAGUCUUAACUGGGCGUUAAGUUGCAGGGUAUAGACCCGAAACCCGGUGAUCUAGCCAUGGGCAGGUUGAAGGUUGGGUAACACUAACUGGAGGACCGAACCGACUAAUGUUGAAAAAUUAGCGGAUGACUUGUGGCUGGGGGUGAAAGGCCAAUCAAACCGGGAGAUAGCUGGUUCUCCCCGAAAGCUAUUUAGGUAGCGCCUCGUGAAUUCAUCUCCGGGGGUAGAGCACUGUUUCGGCAAGGGGGUCAUCCCGACUUACCAACCCGAUGCAAACUGCGAAUACCGGAGAAUGUUAUCACGGGAGACACACGGCGGGUGCUAACGUCCGUCGUGAAGAGGGAAACAACCCAGACCGCCAGCUAAGGUCCCAAAGUCAUGGUUAAGUGGGAAACGAUGUGGGAAGGCCCAGACAGCCAGGAUGUUGGCUUAGAAGCAGCCAUCAUUUAAAGAAAGCGUAAUAGCUCACUGGUCGAGUCGGCCUGCGCGGAAGAUGUAACGGGGCUAAACCAUGCACCGAAGCUGCGGCAGCGACGCUUAUGCGUUGUUGGGUAGGGGAGCGUUCUGUAAGCCUGCGAAGGUGUGCUGUGAGGCAUGCUGGAGGUAUCAGAAGUGCGAAUGCUGACAUAAGUAACGAUAAAGCGGGUGAAAAGCCCGCUCGCCGGAAGACCAAGGGUUCCUGUCCAACGUUAAUCGGGGCAGGGUGAGUCGACCCCUAAGGCGAGGCCGAAAGGCGUAGUCGAUGGGAAACAGGUUAAUAUUCCUGUACUUGGUGUUACUGCGAAGGGGGGACGGAGAAGGCUAUGUUGGCCGGGCGACGGUUGUCCCGGUUUAAGCGUGUAGGCUGGUUUUCCAGGCAAAUCCGGAAAAUCAAGGCUGAGGCGUGAUGACGAGGCACUACGGUGCUGAAGCAACAAAUGCCCUGCUUCCAGGAAAAGCCUCUAAGCAUCAGGUAACAUCAAAUCGUACCCCAAACCGACACAGGUGGUCAGGUAGAGAAUACCAAGGCGCUUGAGAGAACUCGGGUGAAGGAACUAGGCAAAAUGGUGCCGUAACUUCGGGAGAAGGCACGCUGAUAUGUAGGUGAAGUCCCUCGCGGAUGGAGCUGAAAUCAGUCGAAGAUACCAGCUGGCUGCAACUGUUUAUUAAAAACACAGCACUGUGCAAACACGAAAGUGGACGUAUACGGUGUGACGCCUGCCCGGUGCCGGAAGGUUAAUUGAUGGGGUUAGCGCAAGCGAAGCUCUUGAUCGAAGCCCCGGUAAACGGCGGCCGUAACUAUAACGGUCCUAAGGUAGCGAAAUUCCUUGUCGGGUAAGUUCCGACCUGCACGAAUGGCGUAAUGAUGGCCAGGCUGUCUCCACCCGAGACUCAGUGAAAUUGAACUCGCUGUGAAGAUGCAGUGUACCCGCGGCAAGACGGAAAGACCCCGUGAACCUUUACUAUAGCUUGACACUGAACAUUGAGCCUUGAUGUGUAGGAUAGGUGGGAGGCUUUGAAGUGUGGACGCCAGUCUGCAUGGAGCCGACCUUGAAAUACCACCCUUUAAUGUUUGAUGUUCUAACGUUGACCCGUAAUCCGGGUUGCGGACAGUGUCUGGUGGGUAGUUUGACUGGGGCGGUCUCCUCCUAAAGAGUAACGGAGGAGCACGAAGGUUGGCUAAUCCUGGUCGGACAUCAGGAGGUUAGUGCAAUGGCAUAAGCCAGCUUGACUGCGAGCGUGACGGCGCGAGCAGGUGCGAAAGCAGGUCAUAGUGAUCCGGUGGUUCUGAAUGGAAGGGCCAUCGCUCAACGGAUAAAAGGUACUCCGGGGAUAACAGGCUGAUACCGCCCAAGAGUUCAUAUCGACGGCGGUGUUUGGCACCUCGAUGUCGGCUCAUCACAUCCUGGGGCUGAAGUAGGUCCCAAGGGUAUGGCUGUUCGCCAUUUAAAGUGGUACGCGAGCUGGGUUUAGAACGUCGUGAGACAGUUCGGUCCCUAUCUGCCGUGGGCGCUGGAGAACUGAGGGGGGCUGCUCCUAGUACGAGAGGACCGGAGUGGACGCAUCACUGGUGUUCGGGUUGUCAUGCCAAUGGCACUGCCCGGUAGCUAAAUGCGGAAGAGAUAAGUGCUGAAAGCAUCUAAGCACGAAACUUGCCCCGAGAUGAGUUCUCCCUGACUCCUUGA